rnacentral:rRNA from 1 species
CUUGGUCAUUUAGAGGAAGUAAUAAUCGGCCCGGGCGAAGUGCGCUUCAGCUGAAUCGGGACGCAGCCGCAACGCUGCCUUUACUGCGGCGUCAGCAAGAGAAAUGCGCUCCGGCGUUGGAUCGAGAUCGAAAAAGAAAAGGAGAUCAUUCGCGCGCGCGGCAUAUCAAUAAGCGGAGGAUCAUAUCAAUAAGCGGAGGAGCAUAUCAAUAAGCGGAGGAGCAUAUCAAUAAGCGGAGGAACUGCGACGGGCGGUGUGUACAAAGAACACAUGCUGCAUAUGUAAAUUACUUCCUCUAAAUGACCAAGCAUUUAGAGGAAGUAAAAGUUGUAACAAGGUUUCCGUAGGUGAACCUGCGGAAGGAUCAUUAACAAAUCCAAUGCUUGUGGGGUGACUUUUAUUAGUCAUCUUGCAAAUAUUAAUCCGCUGGCCUCGCAAGGGGCUGGUCGAUAGAUAACAUAAAUGUGUGUAGUGUUGACAGUGUGUGAUAUUUAAUUAAUUAUUGACAACUUUUAACAAUGGAUCUCUAGGCUCUUGCAUCGAUGAAGAACGCAGCAAAAUGCGAAACGUGAUGCGAUUUGCAUGAAUCUGUGAGUCAUCUAAUCUUUGAACGCGAAUGGCACUGUUACGUAAGUAGCAGUAUGUCUGUUUGAGAAUCGCAAACACGAUCAACUCUAGUUAGAGUUGGCAUUGACCUCAUGUGCUGUCAAGGUGCAUUUGGUUUGAAUGGAUCAAGUUGAUGGGCUUCCCAGCGAUGCUCGAUGUGUGCUAGCGAGACAGUCGUCCCGAUCUCACAUUAUUGUUUCGUUGCAGAGCUCUAAUCACAGCUUGUUAACUAUCAUAUCUAUUACGAUCUCAAAUCAGGCAAGAUUACCCGGC